rnacentral:tRNA from 1 species
GGAGGAUUACCCAAGUCCGGCUGAAGGGAACGGUCUUGAAAACCGUCAGGCGUGUAAAAGCGCGUGGUGUUCGAAUCCCACAUCCUCCU